rnacentral:rRNA from 1 species
CGCGGCCUAUCAGCUUGUUGGCGGGGUAAUGGCCCACCAAGGCAACGACGGGUAGCUGGUCUGAGAGGAUGGUCAGCCACACUGGGACUGAGACACGGCCCAGACUCCUACGGGAGGCAGCAGUAGGGAAUCUUGCGCAAUGGGCGAAAGCCUGACGCAGCAACGCCGCGUGCGGGAAGAAGGCUUUCGGGCUGUAAACCGCUUUCAGCAGGAACGAAAAUGACGGUACCUGCAGAAGAAGGAGCGGCCAACUAUGUGCCAGCAGCCGCGGUGAUACAUAGGCUUCAAGCGUUGUCCGGAUUUAUUGGGCGUAAAGAGUUCGUAGGCGGUCGAGUAAGUCGGGUGUGAAAAUUCUGGGCUCAACCCAGAGACGCCACCCGAUACUGCUUAACUUGAGUUCGAUAGGGGAGUGGGGAAUUCCUAGUGUAGCGGUGAAAUGCGCAGAUAUUAGGAGGAACACCGGUGGCGAAGGCGCCACUCUGGAUCGACACUGACGCUGAGGAACGAAAGCAUGGGUAGCAAACAGGAUUAGAUACCCUGGUAGUCCAUGCGGUAAACGGUGGGCACUAGGUGUGGGUUUCUAUUAACGAAAUCCGCGCCGUCGCUAACGCAUUAAGUGCCCCGCCUGGGGAGUACGG